rnacentral:hammerhead_ribozyme from 1 species
GUACUGAUGAAGAGUCCCAAACUAGGAUGAAACGGCUGUCAAGUAC